rnacentral:rRNA from 1 species
UUACCGAGUUAUUAGUUUCUUCUUUAGAAGGAACAACUCCCACCCUUUGAUUCAAACUUGUAAAAGAUGAUGUUAGCUUCGGUGAGACGAUUUUGAGAAUUUUGGGUCUGUAAAAGGAUUCGGAUUCGAGAAACGACUGACAAGACGUCAAGUCUGUUGGUUUGAGCUCGCCGGCAGCAUAAAACAAAAACUCUGUUAAAUUUGACUAGUCUGAGACAAAAAAGCGAGAAAUUAAUCAAAACUUUCAACAACGGAUCUCUUGGUUCUGGCAUCGAUGAAGAACGCAGCGAAAUGCGAUAAGUAAUGUGAAUUGCAGAAUUCAGUGAAUCAUCGAAUCUUUGAACGCACAUUGCGCCUCAGGGUAUUCCUUGAGGCAUGCCUGUUCGAGCGUCGUUUAAACCCAUAAAGCUUUGCUUUUGUGUUGAGAUGUGUGUUUUGGUUAGUAGUAACUAACUAAAUACAAUUUCUAAAACGAUUGGCGUCCUUUUUUCUUUGGCCAUAAACGCAUCAACUUGUGUUUUUUUAGUUCCAUACAAAAAAAGUGAUUGCUAGACAAUUUAUAUUUUCCAAAUUGUCGACCUCGGAUCAGGCAAGACUACCCGCUGAACUUAAGCAUAUCAAUAAGCGGAGGAAAAGAAACCAACAGGGAUUGCCUUAGUAACGGCGAGUGAAGCGGCAUCAGCUCAAAUUUGAAAUCUGGCAUCUGCCCGAGUUGUAAUUUGUAGAGGACGGUUCGGCAAGGUCUAGACCCGAGUCUUCUGGAAGGGAGCGCCGAUGAGGGUGAGAGCCCCGUACGGUUGACGACUUAGCCAUGUGAACCUCCUUCGACGAGUCGAGUUGUUUGGGAAUGCAGCUCAAAACGGGUGGUAAAUUCCAUCUAAAGCUAAAUAUUGGCCAGAGACCGAUAGCGCACAAGUAGAGUGAUCGAAAGAUGAAAAGCACUUUGGAAAGAGAGUGAAACAGUACGUGAAAUUGUUGAAAGGGAAGCGCUCGCAACCAGACUUCUUCGUUCAGUUCAGGAGCUCAUUUGGGCUUUGUAUUUCUGUUUGAAGAGGCCAGCAUCAGUUUGGACGGUUGGAAAAAGGCAUUGGGAACGUAGCUCCCUCGGAGUAUUAUAGCCCUUUGCGGAAUACCAGCCAGACUAGACUGAGGAA